CCUACGGGUGGCAGCAGUGAGGAAUAUUGGUCAAUGGGCGCGAGCCUGAACCAGCCAAGUAGCGUGAAGGAUGACUGCCCUACGGGUUGUAAACUUCUUUUAUAAAGGAAUAAAAUGAGGCACGCGUGCCUUUUUGUAUGUACUUUAUGAAUAAGGAUCGGCUAACUCGGAGCCAGCAGCCGCGGUAAUACGGGGGAUCCGAGCGUUAUCCGGAUUUUUUGGGGUUAAGGGGAUCUUAGAUGGGUUGUAAAGUCAGUUGUAAAAGUUUGCGGCUAAACCGUAGAAUUGCAAUUGAUACGGGCAGUCUUGAGUACAGAUAGGGUAGGCGGAAUUCGUGGUGUGGCGGUGAAAUGCU
rnacentral:rRNA from 1 species